GAUGAACGCUGGCGGCGUGCCUAAUACAUGCAAGUCGAGCGAACAGACCAGGAGCUUGCUCCUCUGACGUUAGCGCCCGACGGGUGAGUACCACGUGGAUAACCUACCUACACGACUGGGAUAAUUUCGCGAAACCGGAUCUAAUACCCGAUAAUAUAUCGCACCGCAUGGUUCACUAGUUAAAUACGCUUUUUCUUCCACUUAUAGAUUAACCCGCACCCCAUUAGCUAGUUGGCUAAGUAGAGGCUCAGCAAGGCAACGAUGCGUAGCCGACCUGAGAGGGUGAUCGGCCAGACUGGAACUGAGACACGGUCCAGACUCCUACGGGAGGCAGCAGUAGGGAAUCUUCCGCAAUGGGCGAGAGCCUGACGGAGCAACGCCGCGUGAGUGAUGAAGGUCUUCGGAUCGUAAAACUCUGUUAUUAGGGAAGAACAAAUGUGUAAGUAACUAUGCACGUCUUGACGGUACCUAAUCAGAAAGCCACGGCUAACUACGUG
rnacentral:rRNA from 1 species